rnacentral:rRNA from 1 species
CAGUAGCCGCGGUAAUACGAAGGGUGCAAGCGUUAAUCGGAAUUACUGGGCGUAAAGCGUGCGUAGGCGGUUCGUUAAGUCUGUUGUGAAAGCCCCGGGCUCAACCUGGGAAUGGCAAUGGAUACUGGCGAGCUAGAGUGUGUCAGAGGAUGGUGGAAUUCCCGGUGUAGCGGUGAAAUGCGUAGAGAUCGGGAGGAACAUCAGUGGCGAAGGCGGCCAUCUGGGACAACAUUGACGCUGAGGCACGAAAGCGUGGGGUGCAAACAGGAUUAGAUACCCGGGUAGUCCCUGUCUCUUAUAC